UAUAGCUUAUAGCGUAAAAAGGGAAAAAAAGUAUUUUCUAGGUAAAGGUAAGAGCAACUAUUAGUAGAGGCAGGAAAAAUAAUAUGUACAUAGAAACAUACCAAAUAAAGAAAGCUCAUGGCUUGGGGUAUUUAGGGAACCUUGCAGUUUGGCACUAUAGCACAGUCUAUGUUUGAGUUUAGUUGGAGGAAGACCAGCGGUUGGGACAUUGGGGACACUGGUGAGGUAGAUUGGUAGUGGGACUCAAGACGGAGAAUGUGAAAUCAUCAAGGGGCCAGUCACUAAGGCUUUGGGAGCCUGUGAAGAAGUUUUGUAAUUUUAUGUUUUAAGACACUUAUAGUCAUUGAAGUUAAUUUGAAUGUUGGAUAAUGUGAUCAAGAUUGUGCUUUAGGAAGAUAACUCUGAAGGCUUUUGGAACAGGGUAGUACACCAAGAACAGAGAUUUAGGAUAUUAGUUCCAAAAUUCUCAUGAUACAUCAUUGAGAAUGCAAACUAUAUGGAAACUAAAUCUGGGAAAUGAACUGAUAUAAGGGGUUUGGGAAGUAAAAUGUCAAGGAUGAAGCAGAUUUGGUUAGUUUGAAGUUGCAGCUUUUAUUUGGGGAGGAAAUAAAAGAAGGCUCCAAUGCUAAGUUCUGGAGAGGUAAUAAUGCAAUCAUUAUUUAAUUUCAUGCUCAAAAUUAUAUUUUGCUCUGUUGACCUGUCUUACAUAUUAAAGUGACCCAUAUGGUCAAAUACAAUUCAUUCUAAAAAUUGACUUGAAUACUUACAUGAAUUGAGUGCUUAAGAUAUAACUGUUGAAUUACUAUACCUACUUCUAAAAUACAUCUUUCACAGAUAUAUUUUUUAUUUCACAGAUAUAUUUUAGAAAUAGUAUUCACAUGUAAAAAGGAAAAGAAACCCUGAGUGAUAAAAGCAAACCACAUAGUGAAUAUGUGUCUAUCUUUAGGAAACAUGUUCUACUCUUCUAUCAAUUUUGUUCAUGUCAUUGCUGUCUGUAUGAGGCAGACAUUUCAGCAGAAAAUCCAAAUGUUCUUCUCAUGUACACUUGCUGUCAUGACUAAGCCACGUCAUUUUUGGACUUCAGCUGGGUCAUCAUAAAUGUGUAUUCUGGACAGUGGCUUUAAGUUUUAAAGAAAAAUAAAAUAGAAAGGGAAUAAGCUUGAACAAAAUAAAAUGGGGCAAUAGAUGAUCUUUUAAUUCAGCAAGAGACCCAACUUUUUCUUCUGUAGCUUCUACUGUUUAAACUUUUGGCUGGAGUACGUAGAGGUUAAUUUUAAAUAUGGUAAUAAUUUAAGAGCUAUCUGUUUCUCUUAUUUAUCUCCUUUGUCAUUUAUUUAACUCCUGCCAGCAGAGACCAACUUCCUACUUGCACUGAGCACUUAGGUACAAAAUAUUGCAUGCUAGCUCAUUAAUUUUUAUGUGUGGUAAAAGGUUACUUGCUUUUUUUGUUUCCCUCUAAAAAUUGUGCUACUAAACAUGUAACACCAUAGUCUGGAUUUUCAUUCUUAAGUCAAGCUUUAGAGACAGCCUCAUGGAUUAGUGGGUUUUAGAGUUAGGAUUCUUAAACUCAUCCACUAAAUUUAAGUCAACUUGAGCUAUUCACUACCUUGGGCAAAUUCCUUUAUUUCUGUAACAUUUAAUGUAGUCAUCUAUAUAAGAGCUGCAACACAACCUCCUUUUAUGGCUAAUAUAAGAAAUAAUAUUGAACAUACCAUACGCAUUAUCAGAAAAUAGAAGACCUAAGUAGUAGUUAGUUGAGUUUUGGAGAAUAAAUCCUGGAAUUGUAAUCUAAUGAAAUUGAAAACAUUUCUGGCAUCAAAAAUGAAAGGUGGAAAACAAUGCUGAUUUUUUUCCUAACUUAUACAUUCACAUCAUUUUUACAGUUAUGAAAAUGUGAUGUCAGUGAUGAGUGGAAAACCACUAGAUAAGGUGUGGAAGUUUGUAUUAGGAAGUUUCCUAAUUUUGUAAUCAGCAAAUCAACUAUUUGUACUGUUAUUAUAAAAAUAUGCCCCUGGUUCUUACAUAAAGCAAUCUGUGCAAACCCACAGUGGCAGUCCACAACCUGUUCUACAUGGACUCAGUGCAUCUUGAGUAGAGUGCUGGAGCUCCCCAGAGAAUCCACUUGCCACCUAGUGUCUAGGAAAGAGACCUUGCCUGCUGACUGCUAGGGUCUGGGGAGGAGACUGUGGCGUGGAAGGAUGAAAGGAGGAUAGAAGGGGAGAGUCUGUAAAUACUUGACACAUAAGGUCUAGUUCUUCACUAACAUUGCUAAGGAUGGCUAGAAAUGCCCUGGAGUUUAAAGGCUGUCUGCUCCUUUCAGCCAACAACUUGCCGUCUGUCUGGCACUUUUCUCCCUGGAGAUACAGUCACAAAGCAGUGUCUGCACAGUGAAUACGAUUAAAUGAAAGCCUCUGGAAAUGUCCAUGGGAAAUUAGAUAACAUGUGCUUUGAUGCAGAGAUUCGGUGUUUGAAGGUGAAAAAGACAAGCAAGACAUCAGAAGUCUGCAUCUGCUUAGAUCCAUUGCAGCACAUUAGCAUUCUGCUAAUGUGGCUUUGUAAGUUCUGCACUGAAGUCAGUUUGUUGUUUUUUUCAAGUACCAGCUGACAUUUCAGGGAAAAAGAUCAACAAACAAACAAAAACCUUUAGAUUAAAACAGGUCCUAAAGUUAGACUGGGAUGGAAUGUUAAAAUCAAGUUUUUCUUAUAUUUCCAUUAAUUAAUCAAUUAAAUUGAAAAGUACAUACUAGUCUAUUUGGGAUGGAACAUUUAGUUCUCAUAUUGUUGUCCUUGACAGGCACUAGCUCUAUGCAUGGAGGAGAACAGCCAACUCCUACCCUGGACCAUUUCUAGCAAAGGGGUGCACACUGAGUUAUAGCCAGUAUCUGGAUGGCCCAUGGCAGAAGUGCCCACAGUUCACUCUGAACCCUGGUUUCUUUUAUUUCUGGGCCUUUUAUGCAGUGCCAUAAUGUAUAGUCCUGAAUCAGAGCACACUACUGGGGUACCUAAGUUCUACCAACUGGGCAAGUGUUAUCCUGCUUUCUUCAGCUGCUGACCAAGACCUUGGUGGGCUCCAGAGUGAAGAUGGUAGGAAAUAGCAUGAGAGGAUGCUAAGAUAGUGAAUAGUACAUCUUUGUUCUCAAUGGUAUUGCAUAGAAUAUAUGUGCUAAGGUUGAGUCAUGAACACAGUCGUCUUCUGUGAUACAUAGGAGUUUUGGGUGAUGGAAAACCAAGAUCACUUCACCUUGUUCUUUACCAAGAUAGAAGGUGGUAAUCAGGAUAGGAUCAUUCAUUUAAGCUCCAGAUGCAAGGUGUAUUAGUUUUGUACUGAAGCUGUAGCAAAUGAUCACAAACUCAGUGACUAAAAAAAUUUAAUUAUUUACAGUAUUGGAGCUGUAAAUUACUGUCACCGGGCUAAAAUCAUGGUGUAAGUAGGGAUGCUUCCCUUCUGGAGGCUUUAGAGAAAAUCAGUUGUCUUGCUUUUCUAGGUACUACUAGCUGUUUGUAUUUCUUAGUUUCUAGCCCCUUCCUCUAUUUUUAAAGCCAGCAAAAUAGCAUUUUCAAAUUUCUUUCUGCUCUGAAUCUUUUCAGCUCUCCUAUAAGGACAUUGAGGGUUAAAUUGGGCCCACAAUUUAAAACCACUUUUCUCUUUGAGUAUCCUUAAUAUAUGUACUAAGUCUUUUGGCCAUAUUAAUUAAUAUAUUUGUAAGUGUGAAGAAUAGGGUGGGGCCAUAUUUGGGACCAUUAUUCUGGCUUCUUCUGAACAUACUAUUUCAGUAUUGUUCUAUUCUGUUACUUCUCUUGUUCUACUUAUGCCAUCUAAGAUUUACUCUGUUAAUAAGCUUUGUUUGUUUGAUUAUGCUUUUGUUUUUAUGGUGCUAUUAUGUGAUGAACAUGUAAUGGAAUUCUAACCAAAUGACAUCCCAGUCCAUUUUCAUUUCCCUGGUAGAUGUGUUACUCCAUCUGACACUGAUGCAGCUGUUUAUUUGGACCUAAAUGUAGAGAGAUGACAGCUGAUCUCCUGGAUUGGAGCUUUACUACAAUGAGAUAAGAAUGUAUGCUUGUCAGCCAGAAGAGAAAAAUUGGAUGAAGAGUUUAGAUUCAUUUCUGAAACUCUUAUGAAUUUUAUGAAAUGAUUGGAUUGGAAAGAAUGUUUAAUAAUCCAACCACCAGUAAACCUAUUAAAAUUAAAAUGUUAUUUUCUUAGAUGGGAAGGUGCCCUAUUGUCUGUUAAAUACAAGCCUCAAUAUGAAACAAACUAGGAGGAAACAACCACUUUUUCUGUUUCCUCUUAAAAGAUUGUCAUGCUACUGUGGAAAGGGCUUGGCAUUUGGAUUCAGAGGACCCUCGAUUUAAUCUCUUUUUUUGCCUCUCAUCAGCUGUAUAAUCUUUAACAGAUCUUUCAACCUCUUUAACACCUAAUUCACAUGGUUGUUAGCUUAGUAUUUAAAAGUCUAUGGUUCUGAACAGAAAGCUAUGAUGUGAUUUUCAUAACCACAGCACAAGCAUUCUCAGGAGUUGUUAGGGCUGAAAAUUCUAUAACCUCACCCAGACCCACUACAUGAGAAACCUUAGGGUGAUAAAUUUGAUUCCAUACAAUUAUGAUAUGUAAAAUCUACCCAAUAGUGUUUCAAACUUGGUCUCCUACAAAGUUACCAAAUGUUAGUUGUAAUUAUUCUUUUCUACUAUAUUCAUUUCUUUCAGUUACUAUUUGUUUUGGAUGAGCAAGGUCAGUAACAGAUUGGUGUUUGCUCCUCAAGUCAUACUGUUUUUUUUUCUUUUUUUUUUUUUCUCAAUGAAAAAUAACAUAAAGAACAGAAACAGGAAUAUCGGCUGGCAUUUAAGGCUGUGUCUCUUUAACUCCUCAGCCCAGGUUUCAUGCUCACCUCUGCUGCCUGGAAUGUGCUCUGGUGAUGGCAGAGAAUCAGACCCAGAAGCAGGCUUAUGCAUAGGAGAGAGGCUGUGACUUUGCAGUUACUUUUUUAUUCUUUGGGUAAAUGUAAGUGAACAACAUGUAAAUACAUAUUUGCUUCAAUAAAGAGAAUUUUGUAUUAUGCAACACAUAAAAUUUACCACAGUGAUUUGUCAUUUAAUUUCUACAUAAUUAAGUAGAAGUGAACCUACAUGUUCCAAGCCAAGUUAAAAAUCAUAUGAAGACACAUAAUGCACUGACAAAACCACAAUGGGAAAAGAGAGAAAAUUCAAAAAGCGUCAUUAAACUGAAAAAAGAUUGAGUGCAACAAAAGAACGCACACAAAAUUUUUUUAACUACCACCUAAGAAUAAAAUGGAAAUCUGGAGGGUUAUGUGCAACUAGGAAAUAAAAAUGAUUCAAUAAUAUGCCUUGUACAAUUUCCAACGUCAAAUAUUCCCAUUUCAGUAACUUUCUCAAAGAGUGAAAUCAUGUAAUCUCUUUUUACAUUAUGUCACUAAACUGUAGAGUAGGUAGAUUUAAGCUAAGAUGGCUCUGUAGCUACAAGAAAGGAAAUGAUGUGUCAUGGAUUUGGACUUGGAAAUAUACUCAGUAUUAUGCUCAUAUGGCCCUGUGCGGUAGAUAUUAUAUUGUCCUUGUGUUGCAGAGGCUCAAAGAAUUCAAGUGUUUCUUCUGGGGUCUUGGAUUGCCAGCAAUAGAGCCAAGAUUAGAAUACAGGGCUUUGAGUCUGGACUCAAUGCCCUGCACCACACUUCCACCAAGUUUUAUUGUGAGAACAUUGAUAGUCCAGAUUGUUCUAUGAUGGCACCUUGGCCAAUCUUGCUGUGUUUUGAAAACAUGAUGCCUUUAGAGUGCUUUCUCUGAGACUAAAAAUCAGUAUCAAUAUGGUGAAAAUACAUUCGCCCUGACUUUAUUACAAUAUUAAAAAGGGGUACAUAUUUGAGAAAAUGAGGUAAUCAGAAAGACAGUACUCAAAGACAAGCACUAUAUCUGAGAGCUCUGAGACAUACAGACUUGGUUUGCAUUCUAAAUUUUUGUUCCACUACUUAUUAGCUCAUUAAAUAGGGGUUGCUUCACCUCUGUGUUCCUGCUAUUAGUUUUUUCUUAACUAUAGACAAAACAGUACUUCCAAUUAUGCUGUAGCAUGUGAAUUUUAUGUCAGUUAAAAAUAAUCUAAAAAUAUUAUGUGAAAAUUCAAUGAGGUAAUGUAUUACAAUUAACAGUUACUAAAUAAGUGUUUGUUGCAUAAAAGAUGAAGCAAACCAUUACUAGCAUUAUAAUAAAAGCAAGAAUUAUUUUUUUCUUCUCUAGCAGAGAGGGAGUACAAAGGGCAGAUCAGUUUUAAUUGGGAAUGGCAAUGAGAGGCAUGCAUCAGGUGUUGGCGAGGUGGCCAUGAGCAUAAAGACAUGUGAGUGUUGAAAGAACGAGGCUACUAAAAGGAAAUGGGCACAGCGGCAGGUGGGUGGCUGAUGCUGCUUCAAGCUGAACUUUAAAGACACAGUGGAAACUGCUGUUUUGCCUCUUUUAGUCAGUUCCAUUCCUGUCCUGACAGGCGUUUAACAUGUCUACAUCCCCUGCCCCACCAUGCCACUGCAUACUUGUGGGCUGUUGCUCAUGUUUUUCCCCAGCAUGUGUGUACUAGGAUUUUAUUGAAUUCUCUGGUUUGUACUGAGGUCACUUAGCCAUCAGUCUAGACUAAACUCAGAUAUCUGCCUCUUAAGAGCUGCCAACCUAGACUUAGAUCCCUUAGCAGUACUUCUGAAUUCUCUAGGUACAUCUGUCCCGUAUUACUUCUUACAUUACAAAAAUAAAUUAUUGGGUGUGCAUUGAUUUUCUCUAUUACUCCAUGAGCUUCUCAGAAGUGCAAGAUUCGUGUCUUAUAUGUAUCUUACUCUCUUAGAAUUCAACAAUAUGCCCAGCAUAAAGAGAUUAUUUGGAAAAACUGGAGUUUGAAUUAAACUGAAUUGAACCAAUGUUGAAAUAAGGAUUCCUUACCUAUUUUAUAAAAUUUCACUUGACAGUAAGUUUUGUACUCAAAAGGAAAUUUUAUUGUAUCACGAAUUGAAGUCACAACCUUGUGCUUGUACGUAUUGUGAAAUGGGAACUGUUCAAAAGGAAAGAGAAGCUGGAAAGGAGAAAAGGAGAAAAAAGGAAGGCUAAAGGAAAAAAAUAUAUAUAUAUGAUAGUUAAGAUACUUAUACUACUAAUUUCUAUUAGUUUAUUGAAAAGAAAGUUUUGUGCCAAUAUUUUUGAUCAAUUUUUUCAUGCCUAUAUCUUAUGAGCAACUACUUUGAAGAUAAUACACAAUGUAUUAACCGUUGCUAUUCUUUUACUAUCUUGUUUUGAAAUUUCAUACUAUUGCUUUACUACAGUUUCUAUUUAAAUAAAAAAUAAAGUAAAAAUUUAAAAAUAUAUAAAUGUCUAUAUCUUCAUAAUUGCUAAAAAAAGUAAAAAUAUAUCUGACUUUAUUCUUGCAAAUGAAAACUGGUAUUUUAACACUGCUGAAUUUCUGUAUUUCAGGCAGUUCAAAUAUUAUUAAGAUUUCUAUGUAAGAUAAAAAAAAAAAAGAAAAAAGAAAAAGAAAAUCUAAUCAGCUGGGAGGUCCAAACAAAUCAAGGAAUUGAAGUGCAGUAAUGACCCAGGGAGAAAGUUUUAAGUCCUAAGACUCAUGUGAAAGAUUUCUCAGGUAUACUUUGAGGAAACAGCUAUCCUUAAUCACUCAAAAUAAAGGAGCCCAGGCUCUCAGUUGUCCUCGGUUCCUGUGUUUGUGCCUUUUUUCAUUUCAGUUUGUUCAGCAGUCAUUUUUCAUUCAUUAUGAUACAACAGCUACUUAUCUCCAGAGAGGCAAUAUGCAGGCUCCUUAGGAGUGAAUGUUGGCUCAGAAAAAUGUUACCUGUGACACAGAAAACUAAAAGCAGGUAGAAGUGGAAUAUACUCCAGCAUCUGGGUACAGAAGACCAGACUUCAAGCUUCAAACUCCUCAGUAUGGUUGUUGGAUAGCGUGAAACCCAUCUGUGGCAAUCAUCCAAUUUGGUGGAAAGAUAAAACAAAAUCAAACAAAAAUUGGUAGGUUGAGUGUUGUUACAGGAUAAAGAAUUCAGCUCUAUGAGAUUUGAGGAGGGAGAAAGAGUCUGAGUGUGGAGCAAUGUUUGUGAUUCCUACAUUUGUGGGAUCUUCCUGGCGUCUCAUCCCAGAACAGUUCCAGGGUAAGCAAUACUUCUGCUCACUCAGACACUCUCAGCGUAAACAAGGGAGUGCAGACACUGUGUCUGAGAGCUCACUCUGCAGAGUUUGGAACUUGAGAACAUAAUGCUGAUCUGUCAACAACCUAUGUAAGUGAGAUGCUUGGUAGCGGACUCACGUUUUUCCCGUACCUUCAUUUGAAACACUCCUGCCACUCAGAACCUUGCUCUAGCACCCAACCUCAACGAUGGAAGGAUGGAAUGUAGCUGUGGAUGGCCUUAGCUUGUUUCUCAUAUGUGGGCAGAGGCUGGGAAGAAGAACUAUGUAUAAAUUAAUUUUUUUUUCACAACCCUCCUUGUACAAGGUGGUUUCUAACAAUAAAAAUCUAAGGGAAA